ACGCUCGACACCUACUGGAGGCAGCAGUGGGGAAUAUUGCACAAUGGGGGAAACCCUGAUGCAGCGACGCCGCGUGAGCGAAGAAGUAUUUCGGUAUGUAAAGCUCUAUCAGCAGGGAAGAUGAUGACGGUACCUGACUAAGAAGCCCCGGCUAACUACGUGCCAACAGCCGCGGUAAUCUGAGCGGGCUGGCAAGGC
rnacentral:rRNA from 1 species